AACGAACGCUGGCGGCAGGCCUAACACAUGCAAGUCGAACGCUGUAGCAAUACAGAGUGGCAGACGGGUGAGUAACGCGUGGGAACCUUCCCAGUGGUGCGGAGUAGCUCAGGGAAACUUGAGGUAAUACCGCAUAAGCCCCUAGGGGGAAAGAUUUAUCGCCAUUGGAUGGGCCCGCGUCGGAUUAGCUAGUUGGUGAGGUAAUGGCUCACCAAGGCAACGAUCCGUAGCUGGUUUGAGAGAAUGACCAGCCACACUGGGACUGAGACACGGCCCAGACUCCUACGGGAGGCAGCAGUGGGGAAUCUUGGACAAUGGGCGCAAGCCUGAUCCAGCCAUGCCGCGUGAGUGACGAAGGCCUUAGGGUUGUAAAGCUCUUUUGCCGGGGACGAUAAUGACGGUACCCGGAGAAUAAGUCCCGGCUAACUUCGUGCCAGCAGCCGCGGUAAGAC
rnacentral:rRNA from 1 species